CUACGGGAGGCAGCAGUAGGGAAUAUUGCACAAUGGGCGAAAGCCUGAUGCAGCAACGCCGCGUGCGCGAUGAAGGCCUUCGGGUCGUAAAGCGCUUUUCGAGGGGAUGAGGAAGGACAGUACCCUCGGAAUAAGUCACGGCUAACUACGUGCCAGCAGCCGCGGUAAGAUGUAGGUGGCGAGCGUUAUCCGGAUUUACUGGGCGUAAAGCGCGUGCAGGCGGUUCGGUAAGUCGGGCGUGAAAUCUCCUGGCUCAACUGGGAGGGGUCGUCCGAAACUACCGGACUUGAGGGCAGUAGAGGAGGGUGGAAUUCCGGGUGUAGUGGUGAAAUGCGUAGAUAUCCGGAGGAACACCGGUGGCGAAAGCGGCCUCCUGGGCUGCCCCUGACGCUCAGGCGCGAAAGCCAGGGGAGCAAACGGGAUUAGAAACCCUAGUAGUCC
rnacentral:rRNA from 1 species